UACAGAGGGUGCGAGCGUUAAUCGGAAUUACUGGGCGUAAAGGGCGCGUAGGCGGUUAUAUAAGUUAGAUGUGAAAUCCCUGGGCUUAACCUAGGAACUGCAUCUAAUACUGUGUGACUAGAGUGUAGUAGAGGGUAGUGGAAUUUCCGGUGUAGCGGUGAAAUGCGUAGAUAUCGGAAGGAACACCAGUGGCGAAGGCGGCUACCUGGACUAACACUGACGCUGAGGCGCGAAAAGCGUGGGGGAUCAA
rnacentral:rRNA from 1 species